rnacentral:rRNA from 1 species
GACGAACGCUGGCGGCGUGCUUAACACAUGCAAGUCGAACGGAAAGGCCCUGCUUUUGUGGGGUGCUCGAGUGGCGAACGGGUGAGUAACACGUGAGUAACCUGCCCUUGACUUUGGGAUAACUUCAGGAAACUGGGGCUAAUACCGGAUAGGAGCUCCUGCUGCAUGGUGGGGGUUGGAAAGUUUCGGCGGUUGGGGAUGGACUCGCGGCUUAUCAGCUUGUUGGUGGGGUAGUGGCUUACCAAGGCUUUGACGGGUAGCCGGCCUGGGAGGGUGACCGGCCACAUUGGGACUGAGAUAGGGCCCAGACGCCUACGGGGGGCAGCAGUGGGGAAUAUUGCACAGUGGGCGGAAGCCUGAUGCAGCAACGCCGCGUGCGGGAUGACGGCCUUCGGGUUGUAAACCGCUUUCGCCUGUGACGAAGCGUGAGUGACGGUAAUGGGUAAAGAAGCACCGGCUAACUACGUG